rnacentral:rRNA from 1 species
CCUACGGGUGGCUGCAGUGAGGAAUAUUGGUCAAUGGACGAGAGUCUGAUCCAGCCAAGUAGCGUGAAUGAUGACUGCCCUCUGGGUUGUAAACUUCUUUUAUAUGGGAGUAAAAUGUUCCACGUGUGGGAUUUUGUAUGUACCAUAUGAAUAAGGAACGGCUAACUCCGUGCCAGCAGCCGCGGUAAUACGGAGGGUCCGAGCGUUAACCGGAUUUAUUGGGCUUAAAGGGAGCGUAGGGGGAUUGUUAAGUCAGUUGUGAAAGUUUGGGGCUCAACCGUGGAAGUGCAGUUGAAACUGGCAGUCUUGAGUACAGUAGAGGUGGGCGGAAUUCGUGGUGUAGCGGUGAAAUGCGUAGAUAUCACGAAGAACACCGAUUGCGAAGGCAGCUCACUGGACUGCAACUGACACUGAGGCUCGAAAGUGUGGGUAUCAAACAGGAUUAGAUACCCCGGUAGUC